rnacentral:rRNA from 1 species
GGGGGUAGAGCACUGUUUCGGCUAGGGGGCCAUCCCGGCUUACCAACCCGAUGCAAACUGCGAAUACCGGAGAAUGUUAUCACGGGAGACACACGGCGGGUGCUAACGUCCGUCGUGAAGAGGGAAACAACCCAGACCGCCAGCUAAGGUCCCAAAGUCAUGGUUAAGUGGGAAACGAUGUGGGAAGGCCCAGACAGCCAGGAUGUUGGCUUAGAAGCAGCCAUCAUUUAAAGAAAGCGUAAUAGCUCACUGGUCGAGUCGGCCUGCGCGGAAGAUGUAACGGGGCUAAACCAU